UACGUAGGGUGCGAGCGUUAAUCGGAAUUACUGGGCGUAAAGCGUGCGCAGGCGGUUACGGAAGACAGGUGUGAAAUCCCCGGGCUUAACCUGGGAACUGCAUUUGUGACUGCAUAGCUAGAGUACGGUAGAGGGGGAUGGAAUUCCGCGUGUAGCAGUGAAAUGCGUAGAUAUGCGGAGGAACACCGAUGGCGAAGGCAAUCCCCUGGACCUGUACUGACGCUCAUGCACGAAAGCGUGGGGAGCAAACAGG
rnacentral:rRNA from 1 species